rnacentral:tRNA from 1 species
GGAAAAGGAGAACCCAAUUCCUCCCUAAGACU